rnacentral:rRNA from 1 species
CACGCCGUAAACGUUGAGUGCUGGGUGUUGGUGGUAUCGACCCCAUCAGCGCCGUAGCUAACGCGUUAAGCACUCCGCCUGAGGACUACGGCCGCAAGGUUAAAACUCAAAGGAAUUGACGGGGGCCCGCACAAGCAGCGGAGCGUGUGGUUUAAUUCGAUGCAACACGAAGAACCUUACCAGGGCUUGACAUGCGCGUGGUAGGGAGGUGAAAGCCGAUCGACCCCUUCGGGGGAGCGCGCACAGGUGC